AAACCAACAGGGAUUGCCUUAGUAACGGCGAGUGAAGCGGCAACAGCUCAAAUUUGAAAUCUGGCCCUCGGGUCCGAAUUGUAAUUUGUAGAGGAUGAUUUUGGUGCGGUAUCUUCCGAGUUCCUUGGAACAGGACGCCUUAGAGGGUGAGAGCCCCGUACGGUUGAAUGCCUAGCCUCUGUAAAUCUCCUUCGACGAGUCGAGUAGUUUGGGAAUGCUGCUCUAAAUGGGAGGUAAAUUUCUUCUAAAGCUAAAUAUUGGCCAGAGACCGAUAGCGCACAAGUAGAGUGAUCGAAAGAUGAAAAGCACUUUGAAAAGAGGGUUAAAUAGCACGUGAAAUUGUUGAAAGGGAAGGAUUUGUGACCAGACUUUUUCUGGGCGGAUCAUCCGGGGUUCUCUCCGGUGCACUUUGCCCAGUAAAGGCCAGCAUCGAUUUUCGGCGGCGGAUAAAAGCAGUGGGAAUGUGGCUCCCUACGGGGAGUGUUAUAGCCCAUUGUAUAAUACNCUGCUGGGGAUCGAGGUACGCGCUUCUGCAAGGAUGCUGGCGUAAUGGUUAUCAAUCACCCGUCUUGAAACACGGACCAAGGAGUCGAACAUUUAUGCGAGUGUUUGGGUGUUAAACCCUCACGCGUAAUGAAAGUGAACGGAGGUGAGAGCCCGUACGGGUGCAUCAUCGACCGAUCCUGAAGUUUUCGGAUGGAUUUGAGUAAGAGCAUAACUGUUCGGACCCGAAAGAUGGUGAACUAUGCGUGGAUAGGGUGAAGCCAGAGGAAACUCUGGUGGAGGCUCGCAGCGGUUCUGACGUGCAAAUCGAUCGUCAAAUCUGCGCAUGGGGGCGAAA
rnacentral:rRNA from 1 species